CCUACGGGAGGCAGCAGUGGGGAAUAUUGGACAAUGGGCGCAAGCCUGAUCCAGCCAUGCCGCGUGAGUGAUGAAGGCCUUAGGGUUGUAAAAUUCUUUCGCCAGGGAUGAUAAUGACAGUACCUGGUAAAGAAGCCUCGGCUAACUUCGUGCCAGCAGCCGCGGUAAUA
rnacentral:rRNA from 1 species